AUGGAUAGAGGGCAACUGUCCACUUGUCGAGCAAGGAGCCAAGGAAGAAGACGGUUCACACUACCUCUAAACUCUUGAUUCUUACAGCUGUUUUGUUCGGGAAUAUGGAGCAAGGGGAGUUGACAGAGUAGGAGACUUCCAUCUACGAUCGUCAGAUGAUGGAAAAUACACUACUUCUGCUUUGUGUGGAUUUGUUCAUGCACAGGUUACAGAACUGAAGGUUCAGAGAUUCUGGUGUGCAAAUCGAAGAUGUUAUGCUGAACAUAGCACGGGUUUAAUUGAGCUUGAGUUUAAGGAUCUGGAGAAAGUUCUGGAGCCUUUAUUUUACCACUGGAAACAGAAGAGACAAUCAAGAACUUAGGCAUUUGGUGACUUCACAACCGCAUGACCAUAGACGAAGUUGUUGAAGCUUCAAUUGAAGAUUAUGAAGAAGGCAUGCAGGCUUGUAACGAAGUAGCAAAGCUGUGGAUGCAGAUUCCAGCACCAAAAAGAGGUGAUAUUGUUAGGCAGAUUGGUGAUGCACUUAGAGGAAAACUUCACUACUUUGGCUGACUUGUUUCACUUGAAAUGGGGAAAAUACUACCUGAAGGAAUUGGGGAGGUUCAAGUAUGUCUACUUUACUAAGUCUGUGGUGUAACAAAAAAGUCUUAUUCUUCUGCAACAAUGAAACUGUUCCUUGACUUGUUCUCCUGCCAACAAUAAUGUACAAGUUAAUUCCAUUUUCUCUAAGAAUAAUUGAUGGUUUUCAUUUCUAAA